rnacentral:rRNA from 1 species
GGUGAGUAACGCGUACACGAUCUACCUUCAAGAGGGGAAUAGCCCUGGGAAACUGGGAUUAAUGCCCCAUGGCAUUACGGGACGGCAUCGUUUUGUAAUUAAAGCUGAGGUGCUUGGAGAUGAGUGUGCGUCUGAUUAGCUAGUUGGUGAGGUAACGGCUCACCAAGGCUACGAUCAGUAGGGGGCGUGAGAGCGUGGACCCCCGCACGGGUACUGAGACACGGACCCGACUCCUACGGGAGGCAGCAGUAAGGAAUAUUGGUCAAUGGAGGAAACUCUGAACCAGCCAUCCCGCGUGUAGGAAGAAGGCCCUCUGGGUUGUAAACUACUUUUAUCUGGGAAGAAAAGCCGUCAUUUAUGAUGGUCUGACGGUACCAGAGGAAUAAGCACCGGCUAACUCCGUGCCAGCAGCCGCGGUAAUACGGAGGGUGCUAGCGUUAUCCGGAAUUACUGGGUUUAAAGGGUGCUUAGGCGGCACUGUAAGUCAGGGGUGAAAGGUUCCGGCUCAACCGCAGAAUUGCCUUUGAUACUGCAGUGCUAGGAUUGGGACUGAGGUUGGCGGAAUGUGACAUGUAGCGGUGAAAUGCAUAGAUAUGUCAUAGCACACCGAUUGCGAAGCUGCCAACUGCACUAUUGAUCGUCGCUGUGGCACGAAAGCGUGUGAGCAAACAGGAUUAGAUACCCCUGCUAGUCCACGCCCUAAACGACGCUUAACUAGAUGUGGGGCCCGUGACGUUGCGCGACCGAAGCGAUAAGCGAUAAGUUUAGCCACCCUGGG